UACGUAGGGGGCAAGCGUUGUCCGGAAUCAUUGGGCGUAAAGAGCGCGUAGGCGGUCCGUUAAGUCGGCUGUAAAAGUCAGGGGCUCAACCCUUGAAAGCCGGCCGAUACUGACGGACUAGAGUCCGGAAGAGGCGAGUGGAAUUCCCGGUGUAGCGGUGAAAUGCGCAGAUAUCGGGAGGAACACCAAUGGCGAAGGCAGCUCGCUGGGACGGUACGUGAC
rnacentral:rRNA from 1 species